UCCCUAUGACCAGAGCUUUGGGCCUGAUGAGGGAGAGAGAUUGGGGAACAGGCAGGUGAAGGAACAUUAAAUAUACCACCCCAAAAGUGAAGAGAGGGACAAUUGGGUAAACCGGUGAAACCACAGUGAGUCAUAGCUCAGAUUUUUCAAAAGAACUUUGGUGAAAUCUUCACUUACAAAAAGAAGUCCCACAUUAGAGAAAAGUUAACAAAAUGUGGGAAGGAGAGACAGUUAAUAAGGAAAGACGUGGAACUGCUCCACUCAAGGGGAGGGAGGAGGAGGAGAAAUAGCAGUCGGGAGGCUUGUUGUCGUGCCUUUCAUGGGUGAUCAGCCUGUCCCCUCCCGGCAUCCCCAUUGCUUCAGCACUAUAAGAGGGUUUUGCGAGACCAGUUGCUCUUAUUGUAACGGUGUAGUAACGUUGAGGCCAUGGACCUUAUCUUAGUUCUUGGCAACCACUGGUGGUCCAUGCAGCACAGUUUGGGAACCACUGUUUUAACAACACAGGUACACAAUGGAAGCGUCCUUCUUGUGGAUGUCUCUGCAAAACUGGUAAGCUGUCCUGAGCCAACUCUCCUUCGGUCUUUGAAGAACUGCGCAGUGAGUGGCUCAGGACAGCUUACCAGUUUUGCAGAGACAUCCACAAGAAGGAUGCUUCCACUGUGUGCCUACAUUUGUUAUUUAUAAUCUUUAGUCAAUAUUACGCCAAAGUAAAACAACCUUUUAUUUUAAAAAUCCAGUUGUCAUUUAAUCAAAAUCAUGUCAUCUCUUACCAUGCUUACCUGUGUCAUUAUAGUAGUGGUUCUUAACCUGUGCUCCAUGGACCACCAGUGGCUGCC
rnacentral:lncRNA from 1 species